CUACGCGUCCCAGAAGGCAUUGCGGCGAGACGUCACGCCUCAGUUUUUGUUGAGUUUGCUUCCCGCCGAACCUCUGCCUCUGGCCAGACUCAGAGGCAGAUCCGGAAGUCAGCCUAACCCCUAAUUGGAGGCUGUUUCUGAGAACCUAGGGUGGGUUUGAGCCCCGGGCUGGAGGACUUGGUACCUGCAGUGCCCAUGGAGGCCAGAAGAGGAUAUCAGAUCCUUUGGACCUAGAGUCACAGAAUUCUUAGCUCCCAGGGUACAGAUUUGCUCAGCAGUCAUCAUUUGUAACCACUCACAAGAUCUUUGAUGUGCAUCACCAUGAUGAAGAGGGUG